rnacentral:rRNA from 1 species
GCUCAAAUUUGAAAUCUGGCCCUCGGGUCCGAAUUGUAAUUUGUAGAGGAUGCUUUUGGUGAGGUACCUUCCGAGUUCCCUGGAACGGGACGCCAUAGAGGGUGAGAGCCCCGUCUGGUUGGAUACCGAUCCUCUGUAAAGCUCCUUCGACGAGUCGAGUAGUUUGGGAAUGCUGCUCUAAAUGGNAGGUAUAUGUCUUCUAAAGCUAAAUAUUGGCCAGAGACCGAUAGCGCACAAGUAGAGUGAUCGAAAGAUGAAAAGCACUUUGAAAAGAGAGUUAAAAAGUACGUGAAAUUGUUGAAAGGGAAGCGCUCAUGACCAGACUUGGGCUUGGUUGAUCAUCCAGGGUUCUCCCUGGUGCACUCUUCCAGCCCAGGCCAGCAUCAGUUCGCUGUGGGGGAUAAAGGCUUUGGGAAUGUGGCUCCUCCGGGAGUGUUAUANCCCAUUGUGUAAUACCCUGUGGUGGACUGAGGUUCGCGCAUCUGCAAGGAUGCUGGCGUAAUGGUCAUCANCGACCCGUCUUGAAACACGGACCAAGGAGUCGUCUUC